rnacentral:rRNA from 1 species
CCUACGGGGCGCAGCAGUGGGGAAUAUUGGACAAUGGGCGAAAGCCUGAUCCAGCCAUGCCGCGUGUGUGAAGAAGGCCUUCGGGUUGUAAAGCACUUUCAGUGGGGAAGAAAGCCUUGGGGCUAAUACCCUCGAGGAAGGACAUCACCCACAGAAGAAGCACCGGCUAACUCCGUGCCAGCAGCCGCGGUAAUACGGAGGGUGCGAGCGUUAAUCGGAAUUACUGGGCGUAAAGCGCGCGUAGGCGGUCUGAUAAGCCGGUUGUGAAAGCCCCGGGCUCAACCUGGGAACGGCAUCCGGAACUGUCAGGCUAGAGUGCAGGAGAGGAAGGUAGAAUUCCCGGUGUAGCGGUGAAAUGCGUAGAGAUCGGGAGGAAUACCAGUGGCGAAGGCGGCCUUCUGGACUGACACUGACGCUGAGGUGCGAAAGCGUGGGUAGCAAACAGGAUUAGAUACCCGUGUAGU